rnacentral:lncRNA from 1 species
AAAUUAAUAGUUUGCUGUUGAAAAUCAAGGACAUUAGCUGCUAAUUUAUUGACCAAAGUUUCCAGAGAAUUACCUGAAUCUUGUGGCUGUUGUGGGACCCAAUUUAGGUAUGGCUGGUUAUAUCGUGGAUUAGCCCCAUAAGUAAAGUUAGGGUGGUCCCUCCAUCCUGGGUUGUAGGUAUUGGCAUAAGGGUCGUAUCGCCUUUGUGGUGG